AGUGAACGCUGGCGGUAGGCCUAACACAUGCAAGUCGAACGGCAGCACAGUAAGAGCUUGCUCUUACGGGUGGCGAGUGGCGGAAGGGUGAGGUAUACAUCGGAAUCUACUUUUUCGUGGGGGAUAACGUAGGGAAACUUACGCUAAUACAGCAUACGACCUACGGGUGAAAGCAGGGGCUCUUCGGACUUUGCGUGAUUGAAUGAGCUGAUGUCGGAUUAGCUAGUUGGCGGGGUAAAGGCCCACCAAGGCGACGAUCCGUAGCUGGUCUGAGAGGAUGAUCAGCCACACUGGAACUGAGACACGGUCCAGACUCCUACAGGAGGCAGCGGUGGGGAAUAUUGGACAAUGGGCGGAAGCCUGAUCCAGCCAUACCGCGUGGGUGAAGAAGGCCUGCGGGUUGUAAAGCCCUUUUGUUGGGAAAGAAAAGCAGCAGGUUAAUACCCCGCUGUUCUGACGGUACCCAAAGAAUAAGCACCGGCUAACUUCGUG
rnacentral:rRNA from 1 species